AGUCUGCUUUCAGCACUGGAGGAAGGGUGUUGGAUCCUCAUCGUAGUAAUCUUACACCUACGAUAGUGGAAGUGCUUGUUUGCACUCAAGAUUGGCUUAAAGGAUCUCCUUUCUCAAAUCUAUUUGACGAGGACCUUGAAGAACUUGAAACCUUUGAGAAAGGUAUGUCACAAUAUUUUUAGUUCUACAAACUUUGUAUUGUAUUUUAAAUUUUUUGAAACAUAAUGAAAUGCUCUUUUUUGCAGAGAUCAUUUCUCCAACGCUCUACGCAACAGCAUCUGCUAGUGUCAUUAGUCUUGACGAUUAAAGACAUUUGUUUCUAUUUUGUUUAGCUCAAAGAAAGCUCAAAGAAUUAGGUGAGUGAAACCAAGUGUUUCAGUAUUUAUAUGGUUAUUGAACUCUACAUGUUAUUUUUUGAAAUUACUAACUGGUGUCAUUUUUUUAUUUUUAAUAACUGUUUGCCAUUAUUUUAGCUGCACUUGUUCGCUUUUCUAUAGCGGGAAACUUCCUCGUGGGACUCUUGAAGUUGUUUUGAUCAGCGCCAAAGGCCUUGAAGACAAUGAUUUUCUCUCUAGCAUAGAUCCUUAUGUGAUUCUCUCUUACCGGGCACAUGAGCACAAGAGUACUGUGCAAGAAGGUGCUUUUCUGACAAACUUAACUUGUAAUUUGCUUAGUUGACAUUUUGGAUCUGUUUCUAUAGAUGCACUUUAGAUAUUAUUUAUAUGUUAUAUAUGCUUCAAACUUCACAGGUUGGGUAUGAUAAAUUGGGUUUGUCUAUUGGUCUUCAAUUCAUUGGAAGGCCUUGGUCUGAAGCAACACUAAUCCACUUAGCAUUUGCAAUGCAGGCUAUCUGCAUGUCAGAUUACAGAAAGCCAGAGCAUUACUAUGAUCUGCUAAGAAGAUAAAAAGGAAGAAUAGUAGCAGUAGCACAUUGUUUCCAGCUAAAGGAAAGCCUUCAUUGUAGUGUGUUUGAGCUAGUGGGAUUUUUUCUUUCUUUUUUCCUUUUGGUGGAUUGGAUUUCAUCCAUUAUUAGUACAAAACUUGAUGUCUUUGAUAG